UAGGUUUGCCCGUAUUCCGAGGAUCAAACUUUAUUAAGCUUGAAUAAAUUUAUAAAAAUUACUAUAAUAUCUAUAUCUCUAAAUAAUUUAACUAUAAAAUAAAACUACAUAUAACAAUCUAUUAAUGAUACUAUCACAAUUAUUAAUUUAUAUUUGUAUUUGAUUAAAAUUUAAAAUAUUUAACUUCUCGUACAGUUAUUACGUAACAAAGUGGAUGAUACCACCACGAUGAGUUCCGCCUGCCUACUUUACUUUGUCGUCUACCCUUGGAGCUGCCCUAGAACAGCCCAACACAGCUCCACUAUCGGUUUAGGAAUUAGGACGCCGUGACUUUUCUGGUUUCGUCCGAUAUUCAAACAAGGUUGUUCGGUUGCGCGUGGGUGGUGGGCCAUGAUUCUAGCUCUGGUGUCUGGUCGACAACACAACCUUGAACACCAGGGUAAAUGGUAACGGUAACGGUUUGCAUUCGAUUACCAGUGGUAACAAGUUUGAAUAGGCUGAUAUCAAUUUCUAGUGUGGUAUCGGAUUACGAUUGUACUUAAACAAACAUGAUUUAACGUUAUUUGUUACCGAUUACAUUACAAAUAUAUGAACCAAAUAUCACCCAAGUUCAAUGAACCUAGACACCUCAAGCUUGGCUCACUGGUCCAAGUACAUAAGCAUGUGCAGCAAAGUGGGCUUCGCUAAACCUGAUUGGAUUUCAGCACCUCAGGACCAUAAACAACUGACUACUAGUAGUAGUCUCUUGCUGUUUCAGAGGCAGACAGGUGGGACACACAGUUCAGUGGCCAGCGAAAUACGCGAGUCCACUUGGAAUGUGUACGGCCACACGUUCGGAAGAUACCACGACGCCGCGAGCAUACCGGAUGCAGGUCGCCGCGCCUAAACCCAUUCCACGAGGACCAACGGCAACGGAGGCUAACGGGCACGCGGUAACGAGUACCCGAACCGAACCCGUCACGGUUCAGGAGUGGCACGAGAGAGGACGUCACGCACCUG
rnacentral:lncRNA from 1 species